CACCACCGACUCCACCACCGACCACAGCACCACCGACCCCACCACCGACCACAGCACCACCGACUCCACCACCGACCACAGCACCACCGACCCCACCACCAACCACAGCACCACCGACCCCACCACCAGCAGAAUCAACAAUGCCGACAGUCGCGGAUAAAACCUUCUUAACUGGGUGCACACAACGAUGUGUCCGCAGCGACCUAGUGGCUUCACUGUGUGGUACUGGGACGCUGGCGACGAAAUGUGACAAUCUUCUAGUUGCAGAGUAUGUGGGCUCGUAUACCUGCUGUUCAGGUUAAUACAGCGGACGUCGGAACAUCUGCAGUGCAUACGGAACUCGGUGAAAUAGUGUCUUGGUAUGGAGGGGAAUCCAAGUUCAACCCCUAUGUGUGGUAGAUCGAUUACAAUGGUUAACAGGGCAUCAGUUGCCCUUGGUAACAGUUUACUUAAGAUUCUCUGCGAAGGUACUGUCAAUAUUAAUAGUAUGCACAAUUAUCAAUUAUCACGGUUGUACACAAAAUGUUACAUAUCAGUUGGAUAUAGAUUCUUCUCCUUCCUAUACCUAAAUGCAAAUAAACUGAUGU